AGCGAACGCUGGCGGCAGGCUUAACACAUGCAAGUCGAGCGGGCGUAGCAAUACGUCAGCGGCAGACGGGUGAGUAACGCGUGGGAACGUACCUUUUGGUUCGGAACAACACAGGGAAACUUGUGCUAAUACCGGAUAAGCCCUUACGGGGAAAGAUUUAUCGCCGAAAGAUCGGCCCGCGUCUGAUUAGCUAGUUGGUGAGGUAACGGCUCACCAAGGCGACGAUCAGUAGCUGGUCUGAGAGGAUGAUCAGCCACAUUGGGACUGAGACACGGCCCAAACUCCUACGGGAGGCAGCAGUGGGGAAUAUUGGACCAUGGGCGCAAGCCUGAUCCAGCCAUGCCGCGUGAGUGAUGAAGGCCCUAGGGUUGUAAAGCUCUUUUGUGCGGGAAGAUAAUGACGGUACCGCAAGAAUAAGCCCCGGCUAACUUCGUGCCAGCAGCCGCGGUAA
rnacentral:rRNA from 1 species